UACGUAGGGAGCGAGCGUUGUCCGGAAUUACUGGGCGUAAAGGGUGCGUAGGCGGUAGGCCAAGUCAGAUGUGAAAUUCCCGGGCUUAACUCGGGGGGUGCAUUUGAAACUGGUUUACUUGAGUGCAGGAGAGGAAAGUGGAAUUCCUAGUGUAGCGGUGGAAUGCGUAGAUAUUAGGAGGAACACCAGUGGCGAAGGCGACUUUCUGGACUGUAACUGACGCUGAGGCACGAAAGCGUGGGGAGCAAACAGG
rnacentral:rRNA from 1 species